rnacentral:rRNA from 1 species
AUAUGCAGGACUUGCGCCGACCAUGCCCAUCGUAAACGGUCACCGAAUGUCUGUCAUCGUCACCACUGGACACGCUCCAACGCAGCUCCGACUUCAAAGCAACCCAGCAACCACGGAAGAGCACCUCGGACACGCCGGGAAGAACCGACUACCAAAGACCACGCUGCGACCCAAGCUCCUCUCAACGCCAUCAUCGUUGCCAAACAGAAACCAGCGCCCCGCCUCAGCCUCAGCAAACCACGCGGUGAAGAUGCCGCCAUCGACGGCGAAGAUGCCAUCAUCCUCCGGACUCUCAGUCGUAGCCGGCUCCGAGACGAUGCCCCCAAGGAGAAGAAAGCCGCGAAGACGCCUUCAUUGCCCGAUCCAGCGGAUCUGAGGUUUCCCUCCGGAGCCCAAGCCGUGGGGAGAAGGUGGAGUACCUCCACGACGAUGCUUCCAAGAAAGACCACGGCACCCGCGGGCGCCGCCGUCGCCGGCUCCAGUGAAGACUGGAGCAAGGAUUUCUCCCGGAGAUGUGCCGACCACCUGCCACCACCGACCGCCGCCCAU